GGGAUCAACAUGGAGGGGCUAGAGAAAAAGAGGAUAGGUGACUGGGGCCCUGCAGGUCAUAACAAAAGUCUGGAUGUUAGUUCUGAGAACAGGGGAAGCCACCCAAAAGAUUCCUACUGGAAUGCCGUGAUAUAUGAGUCUGUGGAAGACACUUUCUCUGGAGAAUAAAGCACUACGGAUGAACCCAGAGCUGCAUCCUAAGCAAGCACUCUAUUCCUGAGCUUCACCUUUCAUUGGCGAGCUUACUGCUUACCUGAGAUUGAUUGGCUGGCAGGAUGUUUUCCUCUACGACAUGAUCUUUGGUACCCUAUGAACAAGGCUGCAUAAGUGAAGGAGAACAGGACAAGUGUCUUGAUGAAAUGUGACGGAGUUCGGUGUCUGUGACAUGAGAGAGAGACCACCAGCCUCCAUAUGAACACAACCAGUCCCUCAGGAGCCACCUCAAACUGCAUCUCCAGCUAGCAUCCCAUCACUAGUGUAUCCUAAUUACACCGGAGGCUUCGUGAAUAUGCCUCAGUAUGAUCAUUUCCGCAAUGUGGAUUUUAGUCACAGAGACUGAUAAAUUGCAGCUGCUCAGAAGAAAUGUGGAGCUUAUCAAAUAGUGUCAUUUGAUUAUAACUAUAGAUAUUGAUAACACAAUGAGCAAGGGUUCUCUAAAUGCAUCUCCCACCAUCACCCCAUAUACUGGGUGUUAUAUCACACAAUCAAAAUGGUUCAAAGGCUAUCUGAAAACUCCCCAAGGUCGGAUGGGCCAUAUAGGAACUGAAUGCAAAGCCAUAACAAAGUUGAUACCUUGAUCUCUGGAAUUAAAAAGGCCUGUGGCUGAGUGAGCUUCCAGACAAAGUCAGGCUCCAGAAAAGAGUCAGUUUCCUAAGGCUACAAUUCAUCAGUUGUGCAGAGGGCCUGGCAUGUACAGGGUGGCCAUCAUCUUAGCAUCUGACACCUCUUUAUCCAACUUCUCUCCUCCCCAACCCCCAGUCUAGAUUUCCCUGGGCCUCUCGGCCUCACCCAAGCAAUGUGUGCUGUUUGUGUGAUCAGCAAGUCGUUUAGGGAAAAGCCUUUUAAUUAAGAGGAGAGCAACAAAUUAUUAAAUCAGAGCCGUUUAUUACCCUGCCAUCUGGCCAGAACUCUUUCUGGCCCCCUUCUUUCCUAAGCCUUCACGGGCAUAGAAAAACAAUGACAGAGCAGAAACAGGUGCCUGCCUGGACUUAGAAAGGAUCAUGUAGCCUUUGCUGGAAGCAAAGUGAGGGUUCUAAGAAGACCUUUUAGUGUCUAACCUUCUCAGAGAUUGCUCUAAUACCUGUAACAUGGAGAUGCUAGUGUCUACCUGGAAGCUCUGUGAUGCCUCCCAGAGGUACUUAGGAAACAAUGGAAACUGGAGGCUACAGGUGAGAAGUUUUGCUAUUGGUGAUGGUGGCAGCAGUGAUCACUGUAGUGACACCAGAGUGAGGCCCCUAGAUAUCUCCUCUCUGUAAGCCCCAGCUGGGCCUCAUUUUCCUGACCCACAGGAACGUUCCUCAAUCUCCUUCUCUAACUGUUAGGGCUGCUCGGGAAACCUAUGGUCACCUUUUAGGCCACUCCACACAAAUCUAGAUGCCAGGAUGUUAAGGGAAGUGCAGCUAGAAUUUUGGGUGUGACUAAGCAAAGAGAUGAGAGAAACAUAAAAUAGGAAAAGGCUAGGAGACCCAAAUUUGGGAUGCAUUUAAAUAUGUGGCAACCCAGAGAGGGUCUCACUGCAUGACGUAACAGACAGUCAGACACAAUGUCCUAAAAGUAAAAUCACUAUGAAGGAGCCACAAAUAAAGGCUCCUAUAAGCUUAUUGGAGACUCAAUUACCAUGAACAGCAUAGCUGUCAGGGAUGUGAUUUUUCCAGAAUGGUGAGCAGCUCUGGUAAAGAACUGAAGGAAAUAACGUGCUAAAAACUUUCAGCCUUCUAGACUUAGCAUAUAAUAAAAGCCACAGUGACCAAGCUCUGCUUAUGUGACUGUCGUGAUGGCUCAGUGGCUAAAGUACUUUCCAUGUGAGUGUGAACAUCAAAGUACAGCUCCCCAGAACUCAUGUAAGAGCCAGGCAGACAUGGUAGCUUGCCUGUAACCCCAGUGCUCAGGAGGCAGAAAUUGGGUGUCCUUAGGGCAAACUGGCUUAGCUAGAUUAGCCAAGUCUGCAAGCCCAGCUAAAGAAUCUUCUUUGAUAUCUAAAGUAGACUCAAUGGCGUCUAAAAAGACAUACAAUGUCAGCCUCUAGCCUCAAUAUGCACAUGCACACACACACAGGCAUGUCCACACACACAUGCUCACACGUGUAUGAAUAUGCAUACACACAUGCAUGCAUAUCUCAGAUACAUACAUAUGAAAAAGCCCUGUUUAUAUUUGUUUGCAUUCUUUUUUAACAAUUGCAUUAAUUGUUUUUCUUUGUGAUGUAUGAUGCAUGUGUAUGGGCACAUGCGUGCUGUGGAGGUCAGAGAACAACCUUGUGGGGUCAGUACCUUCCUUCCACCUUUGUGUGGGGUCCAGGGGUUAAGCGCAGGUUGUCAGACUUGUGCGGUGAGUGCCUGAUCCACUGAGCCAUUUCACCCUCCCAGAAAUGAAGAAAGUUCUGUGGAAUAAAUCAUUUGUAAGAUUGUCUCAUAGAUGGCUAAAAAUCUAGGCAUCUAGGGUCCCAUCCUUUGCCAAGAGUGAGUCCCCCGCACAUCAUUUGGAACAAAAUAUCUCCUAGGGAGUGAUCCUGUGCUCAGCAUGAAAACGUGAAUUGAACUCAAUUGAAUUUAAAAAUAUAGUAUGACAUAAUCAGGAAGUCUUAAACUUGAAAGGAUAAUAAAUGUAUGGUAUUUUCACUCAUUUUUGUUAAGAGUGACAAUAAAAGUUUUAUGUAAAGAUAAACACACACAUGUACACGUUAAUACAAAGAGCAAGUCUCUCUUGUUGUAAAGCUUAAGAGUGACCAUUUAAGCACAACAU
rnacentral:lncRNA from 1 species